AACAAACGCUGGCGGCAUGCCUAACACAUGCAAGUCGAACGAGACCUUCGGGUCUAGUGGCGCACGGGUGCGUAACGCGUGGGAAUCUGCCCUUAGGUUCGGAAUAACUCAGGGAAACUUGAGCUAAUACCGGAUAAUGACGUAAGUCCAAAGAUUUAUCGCCUAGGGAUGAGCCCGCGUAGGAUUAGCUAGUUGGUGGGGUAAAAGCCUACCAAGGCGACGAUCCUUAGCUGGUCUGAGAGGAUGAUCAGCCACACUGGGACUGAGACACGGCCCAGACUCCUACGGGAGGCAGCAGUGGGGAAUAUUGGACAAUGGGCGAAAGACCUGAUCCAGCAAUGCCGCGUGAGUGAUGAAGGCCUUAGGGUUGUAAAGCUCUUUUACCCGGGAUGAUAAUGACAGUACCGGGAGAAUAAGCUCCGGCUAACUCCGUGCCAGCCGCCGCGGUAAG
rnacentral:rRNA from 1 species